rnacentral:rRNA from 1 species
CAUGUCUGUUUGUAGAUAUAAAGAGUCMWAUCUGCCCACUGACAAGUAGUUGAAGGGCCGCAGUAUUCUAACUGUGCAAAGGUAGCAUAAUCGUUAGUUCUUUAAUUGAGAUCUUGUAUGAAUGAUUAGACAAAAGAAUGGCUGUCUUUAUAAUAAAAUUUGAAUUUAACUUUUAAGUGAAAAGGCUUAAAUGAUUUGGAGUGACGAUAAGACCCUAUGAAGCUUAACAUUAAUUAUAGCAAUUUAAGUAAAAUAAAUAAUAAAAUUUUGAUGGAUAUAGAUGUUUUAUUGGGGUGAUAGAAGUAAAAUUAAUAAUAACUGCUUUGUUUUAAAACAAAUAUAAAUGUUUUAGUAAUAAAUGAUCCUAUAUAGUUUAGAUUGAAAGAUUAAGUUACUUUAGGGAUAACAGCGUUAUUUUUUUUAAGAGUUCAUAUCRAAAAAAAAGAUUGCGACCUCGAUGUUGAAUUAAAAUAUCUAUGUAAUUGUAGAAGUUACGUAAGAAGGUCUGUUCGACCUUUAAAAUUUUACAUGAUUUGAGUUCAGACCGGUUUAAACCAGGUCGGUUUCUAUCUUUCAAUUAAAAUAAA